UUCUUUUAAAACAAGGACACACUUGAAACCUUCACCCUUGAAUCCUGACCAUGCACUGGGCGGCCUGGGGGCUAUUUCAGACCCCUUAUCUGUCUCUCACGAAGUUGCUGCACAGCACAGACUUCAGUGUGAAAUUUCUUACAGCGUCCCUGAAAGGGAGCGAGCGAUCUAACCCGGCUCUACAGAAUUCCCCCAGCCCAGACCGGACACUGUCCGGACCAGAACUCCGGUCCAGCCUGUAUCAUUAUCACCGGAUUUCCAGCCUCUCGCUCCGGAACAGAGGCCUCAGAAGCUGGAAGUGGCCCGGCCCUCUCGGGACCUCUGAGAGAGCCUGGAAGAGAUCACCAUGCUGAGUUUGAUUUGGUGGCCGGUGAUCCAGGGGAAGAUGGCUGAGGUGGGAGAGUGGAGCAGCUGGUGAGAACGUCUACACACAGAGGACCCAGCAUGGCAGUCCUUCCUCAGGCAAAACUCCCACUCUGCCUGAGGCUUGCUUUACCAAACACGCAGCUGUGCCCAAGGAAAGAGGACCGCAGAAAGAAAAGAACUUCCUUAAUUUUUUUUUUUAAUAUCUAAUUUUUAACACUCCACAAAGGCCUUCUUAAAAGACAUUUCACCUUUUAGGGUGAAAAACAAGGCUUUUGGUUGGUCCCCUGGGUGACGUACUCAUUUGCUUGUGAAUCUGCUUGGCAGAGCUUCUUGAGAAUGAGGCAGCUGCGGCACCUCAUGA